UACAGAAUCCUCGAGCGUUACCCGGAUUUAUUGGGCGUAAAGGGUCCGUAGGUGGUAAAGUAAGUUGAAAGUUAAAACUCAUCGGCUUAACCUUUGAGGUGCUUUCAAUACUGCUAUACUAGAGGACGUUAGAGGUUAACGGAACCGACGGAGUAGGGGUGAAAUCCGUUGAUAUCGUCGGGAACACCAAAAGCGAAGGCAGUUAACUAGGACGAUCCUGACACUGAGGGACGAAAGCGUGGGGA
rnacentral:rRNA from 1 species